ACGAACGCUGGCGGCGUGCUUAACACAUGCAAGUCGAACGAGAAAGCCCGCAAGGGUGAGUAGAGUGGCGCACGGGUGAGUAAUAGAUAGGAACGUACCAGACAGAGGGGGAUAAUUGCGGGAAACUGCAGCUAAUACCGCGUACGACGAAAGUUAAAAGAGGGCCUAUGCUUGCAAGCUCUCGCUGUUUGAUCGGCCUAUCUCCCAUUAGCUAGUUGGCGGGGUAAGAGCCCACCAAGGCAUCGAUGGGUAGCUGGUCUGAGAGGAUGAUCAGCCACACUGGAACUGAGACACGGUCCAGACUCCUACGGGAGGCAGCAGUGGGGAAUCUUGCACAAUGGGGGCAACCCUGAUGCAGCAACGCCGCGUGAGUGAAGAAGGCCCUUGGGUCGUAAAGCUCUUUCGGCUGGGAAGAAGGGUUCUUGGGUAAACAAUCCAGGGAUUUGACGGUACCAGAAGAAGAAGCACCGGCUAAUUCCGUGCCAGCAGCCGCGGUAAUACGGGAGGUGCAAGCGUUGUUCGGAAUGACUGGGCGUAAAGCGCACGUAGGCGGGUCUUUAAGUCGAAUGUGAAAUCCCUGGGCUUAACCCGGGAAUUGCAUUCGAAACUGGAGAUCUUGAAUGCCCGAGAGGUUGAUGGAAUUCCUGGUGUAGGAGUGAAAUCCGUAGAUAUCAGGAGGAACACCGGAGGCGAAGGCGGUCAACUGGUGGUGCAUUGACGCUGAGGUGCGAAAGCGUGGGUAGCAAACAGGAUUAGAUACCCUGGUAGUCCACGCCGUAAACGAUGGAUACUAAGUGUUUGGGAAGUUAACCUCCUGAGUACUAAAGCUAACGCAUUAAGUAUCCCGCCUGGGGAGUACGGUCGCAAGGCUAAAACUCAAAGGAAUUGACGGGGGCCCGCACAAGCGGUGGAGUAUGUGGUUUAAUUCGAAGCAACGCGCAGAACCUUACCUACCUUUAACAUCCCAUGACAACUGCAGAGAUGCAGCUUUCCUUUCGGGGACAUGGUGAUAGGUGCUGCAUGGCUGUCGUCAGCUCGUGUCGUAAGAUGUUCGGUUAAGUCCGGUAACGAGCGCAACCCUUGUCCUUAGUUGCCAGCAUUAAGUUGGGUACUCUGAGGAGACUGCCGAUGUUAAAUCGGAGGAAGGCGGGGAUGACGUCAAGUCCUCAUGGCCCUUACAGGUAGGGCUACACACGUACUACAAUGGCAGAAACAAACCGUCGCGAAGCCGUGAGGUGGAGCCAAUCGGUAAAACACUGUCUCAGUCCGGAUUGUAGUCUGCAACUCGACUACAUGAAGCUGGAAUCGCUAGUAAUCGCUGAUCAGCAAGCAGCGGUGAAUACGUUCCCGGGCCUUGUACACACCGCCCGUCACACCAUGGGAGUCAGUUGCUCCAGAAGUGGCUGCGCCAACCCGCAAGGGAGGCAGAUCCCCAAGGAGUGGCUGGUGACUGGGGUG
rnacentral:rRNA from 1 species